UGCAAAUCAAUAUAAAUUGAUAAUGUUUAAUAUUUAUUUAUUUAUUUAUUUUGUUUAUUUAUUUAAUAUAUUAAAAAUAAUUAUAUAAUUUAAUGUUUUAGUAAUUUUUAAUGAAAAAAUAAUUUUAAUAAUAGUUUAUUUUGUAUUGUAAAAGGUUAUUGAAAUAAUUGAAAAAUUUUUAUAUAAAAAGAAAAUUUAAUUUAUUGUACCUUGUGUAUCAGGGUUUAUUAAAUAAUUAAUAAAUAUUUAUUUAUCUCGAUUUUAUAAGAGUUAAUAAUUUAUAAAAUUUAAUGUUUUAAAAUUAUAUUAAAUAAAUUAUUAGAAAUGAAAUGUUAUUCGUUUAUAAAGGUAUCUAGUUUUUUUAGAAAUAAAUUUAAUUUACAAUUUUUUAAUUUUUAAUUUAUUUUUAUAAAUUAAAAAUUUAUUAAAUUGAAUAUUUUAUGGGAUAAGCUUUAAAAUAAAUUAUUAAAAAUUUAUAUUAGUUAUUAAAAAUGUAUGUGUAGAAUUAGCAAUCAUUUAUAAGUUUAUUAUAAAUUAUUUUUAUGUCUUUAUUAUUUAUUGUAUUUUAAUUUUAUAUAAAAAUUUUUUUUAUAAUAAAUUUUAUUAAAUAAUAAUGAUUAAAUUAGUAUAUUAAUUAUUUAUAUAUAAAUAUAAUUGAAAAGUUUAUUUAAAGAACUCGGCAAAUUUUAUACUCGCCUGUUUAACAAAAACAUGUCUUUUUGUAUUAAAUAAAAAGUCUAACCUGCCCACUGAAUAGAUUUUAACGGCCGCAGUAUUUUAACUGUGCAAAGGUAGCAUAAUAAUUAGUCUUUUAAUUGGAGGCUUGUAUGAAUGGUUGAACGAAGUAUAAACUGUUUCAUUUAAAUUUAUAAUAGAAUUUUAUAUUUUAGUUAAAAAGCUAAAAUUUUUUUAAAAGACGAGAAGACCCUAUAAAUCUUUAUAUUUUAUAUUAAAUAAAUUUUUUUGGUAUAUUUUAUUUUUAUAUUAUAAAAUAUUUUGUUGGGGUGAUAUUAAAAUUUAAUAAACUUUUAAUUUUAUUUAAUCAUUAAUUUAUGAUUUUUGAUCCGUUAAUAACGAUUAUAAGGUUAAGUUACUUUAGGGAUAACAGCGUAAUUUUUUUGGAGAGUUCAUAUCAAUAAAAAAGUUUGCGACCUCGAUGUUGGAUUAAGAGAUAUUUUUAGGUGUAGUUGCUUAUAAAUUUAAGUCUGUUCGACUUUUAAA
rnacentral:rRNA from 1 species